UAACUGAAGAGUUUGAUCAUGGCUCAGAUUGAACGCUGGCGGCAGGCUUAACACAUGCAAGUCGAGCGGGGGAAGGUAGCUUGCUACUGGACCUAGC
rnacentral:rRNA from 1 species